UCCACGCCGUAAACGAUGCUAACUCGUUUUUGGGUUUUCGGAUUCAGAGACUAAGCGAAAGUGAUAAGUUAGCCACCUGGGGAGUACGUUCGCAAGAAUGAAACUCAAAGGAAUUGACGGGGGCCCGCACAAGCGGUGGAUUAUGUGGUUUAAUUCGAUGAUACGCGAGGAACCUUACCAAGGCUUAAAUGGGAAUUGACAGGCUUAGAAAUAGGCUUUU
rnacentral:rRNA from 1 species